UGGAGCUCAGCUCAGUGGAAGAGAAUGUGCUUACUAUGCAUGAGGCUCUGGGUUCAAUCCCCAGCACUAA
rnacentral:tRNA from 1 species